UGCAGGCAUGGACAGAGAGAACAGCAGCACAACAGCCAGAAGGUGAAAACCAGGUCGGUAGGAAAAGUCAGGGGAGGCAUCACCCAACCCCAGAACAGUGUGACUCUGAACGGAGAAGGGUGAGAGGUGUGGACACCCGAGGAGAGAAUCCCAUCAAGAGGAAACAACAUGAGGCUGCGGAGAUGGCUCCAUGGUUAAGAAUACUGGCUGAUCUUCCGGACGACCCAGUCGCUCUAGGACAAGGAUGUUCUUGCCUCUCAGCUGGAACCUUUGCUGCCAUCAUUCUUGGAAUUGGGGCUGGGGCGGUUCUGAUGGGAGCCCUGGUGUACUUCCGGUUUUCCAGGAGAAUGGCAGUGUAGAGAAAGAGCUCCAUCACUCUCCUCUGCGCGUGUCAGGAAGCUGGAAGCCAAGAAAAAAAGAAACAGGAAAUCAAAGGACUAACAAGAGAGCAAGGCUCGCGCCCUGCUGAGCACAGUAGCAGCAGGAGGAAGGGUAAGAUGGGAGGAGAACCCAAGGUAACAACGCAGAAUCACCAGAGUCCUCUUGGAGAAGAAAACGACGCAGAGAAAAGCAGAGUCUGCCUGUGGAAAGCACAAGGCCAUGUAUGCAGAAUGAGUACAGAAGCCUCAGAAUAAAAGAGACCCACAGUGCUGGGAAUACAG